AUAUGUUAAAAAUAACAUGUAAAAGUGAAAAAUAUAUUUUUGAAAUAAUGGAUAACUAAAAGUGAACAGAGGAGUAGAUGUAUUUUACUUCAUUAAAUUACUUAACUAUGAUAAAUUAUACGGAAAAUUGUCAAAAUGCUUGUUCCAAAAAUGUCCUAUUAUUAUUUUUGGUAAAGAAAUGUCCUUUUUCUAAUACAUUCUUUUUCCUAAUAAAAAUAUUGUAACCAUC
rnacentral:lncRNA from 1 species